AUUAUGAGGUUCUGCAGCAGCUGAGGUGUGUAUUAGGAGGUUCUGUAGCAACUGAGGUGUGUAUUAUGAGGUUCUGCAGCAGCUGAGGUGUGUAUUAGGAGGUUCUGCAGCAGCUGAGGUGUGUAUUAGGAGGUUCUGCAGCAGCUGAGGUGUG